AUACGGAGGGUCCAAGCGUUAUCCGGAAUCAUUGGGUUUAAAGGGUCCGCAGGCGGUCAAUUAAGUCAGAGGUGAAAGCCCAUCGCUCAACGAUGGAACUGCCUUUGAUACUGGUUGACUUGAGUUAUACGGAAGUAGAUAGAAUAAGUAGUGUAGCGGCGAAAUGCAUAGAUAUUACUUAGAAUACCGAUUGCGAAGGCAGUCUACUACGUAUAUACUGACGCUGAGGGACGAAAGCGUGGGGAGCGAACAGGAUUAGAAACCCUAGUAGUCC
rnacentral:rRNA from 1 species